GAUGAAGAACGCAGCGAAAUGCGAUACGUAAUGUGAAUUGCAGAAUUCAGUGAAUCAUCGAGUCUUUGAACGCUCAUUGCGCCCCCUGGUAUUCCGGGGGGCAUGCCUGUCCGAGCGUCAUUGCUGCCCUCAAGCACGGCUUGUGUGUUGGGCCUCCGUCCUCCUCCCGGGGGACGGGCCCGAAAGGCAGCGGCGGCACCGCGUCCGGUCCUCGAGCGUAUGGGGCUUCGUCACCCGCUCUUGUAGGCCCGGCCGGCGCUUGCCGACACAUCAAUCUUUUUUCUAGGUUGACCUCGGAUCAGGUAGGGAUACCCGCUGAACUUAAGCAUAUCAUAAGCGGAGGA
rnacentral:misc_RNA from 1 species